rnacentral:SRP_RNA from 1 species
GCCAGGCGUGGUGGUGCGUGCCUAUAGUCCCAGCUACUUGGGAGGCUGAGGUGGGAGGAUCACUUGAGCCCAGGAGUUCUGGGCUGUAGUGCGCUAUGCCGAUCGGGUGUCCGCACUAAGGUCAGCAUCAAUAUGGUGACCUCCUGGGAGCGGGGAACCACCAGGUUGCCUAAGGAGGGGUGAACCGGCCCAGGUUGGAAACAGAGCAGGUCAAAACUCCCGUGCUGAACAGCAGUGGGAUCGCGCCUGUGAAUAGCCACUGUACUCCUGCCUGGGCAAUGUGGUGAGACCUCGUUUCU